CCUACGGGCGGCAGCAGUGAGGAAUAUUGGUCAAUGGGCGCGAGCCUGAACCAGCCAAGUAGCGUGAAGGAUGACUGCCCUACGGGUUGUAAACUUCUUUUAUAAAGGAGUAAAGUAAUGCACGUGUGCCUUUUUGUAUGUGCUUUAUGAAUAAGAAUCGGCUACCUCCGUGCCACCAGCCGCGGUAGUACGGAGGAGCCGAGCGUUAUCCGGAUUUCUUGUGUUUAAGGGGAUGGUAGAGGGGUUGUUAAGUCAGUUGUGAACGUUUGCGGCUAAACCCUAAAAUUGCAAUUGAUACUGGCAGCCUUGAGUACAGUAGAGGUAGGCGGAAUUCGUGGUGUAGCGGUGAAAUGCUUAGAUAUCACGAAGAACUCCGAUGGCGAAGGCAGCUUACUAAACUGCCACUGACAUUGAUGCUCGAAAGUGUGGGUAUCAAACAGGAUUAGAUACCCGAGUAGUC
rnacentral:rRNA from 1 species